rnacentral:rRNA from 1 species
CAGUAGCCGCGGUAAUACGUAGGUGGCAAGCGUUGUCCGGAAUUAUUGGGCGUAAAGGGCUCGCAGGCGGUUUCUUAAGUCUGAUGUGAAAGCCCCCGGCUCAACCGGGGAGGGUCAUUGGAAACUGGGAAACUUGAGUGCAGAAGAGGAGAGUGGAAUUCCACGUGUAGCGGUGAAAUGCGUAGAGAUGUGGAGGAGCACCAGUGGCGAAGGCGACUCUCUGGUCUGUAACUGACGCUGAGGAGCGAAAGCGUGGGGAGCGAACAGGAUUAGAUACCCCAGUAGUCCCUGUCUCUUAUAC